rnacentral:rRNA from 1 species
GAGUUUGAUCAUGGCUCAGAUUGAACGCUGGCGGCAGGCCUAACACAUGCAAGUCGAGCGGUAACAGAUCCAGCUUGCUGGAUGCUGACGAGCGGCGGACGGGUGAGUAAUGCAUAGGAAUCUGCCCGAUAGUGGGGGAUAACCUGGGGAAACCCAGGCUAAUACCGCAUACGUCCUACGGGAGAAAGGGGGCUCCGGCUCCCGCUAUGGGAUGAGCCUAUGUCGGAUUAGCUAGUUGGUGAGGUAACGGCUCACCAAGGCCACGAUCCGUAGCUGGUCUGAGAGGAUGAUCAGCCACAUCGGGACUGAGACACGGCCCGAACUCCUACGGGAGGCAGCAGUGGGGAAUAUUGGACAAUGGGGGCAACCCUGAUCCAGCCAUGCCGCGUGUGUGAAGAAGGCCCUCGGGUUGUAAAGCACUUUCAGCGAGGAAGAACGCCUAGCGGUUAAUACCCGCUAGGAAAGACAUCACUCGCAGAAGAAGCACCGUCUAACUCCGUGCCAGCAGCCGCGGUAAUACGGAGGGUGCAAGCGUUAAUCGGAAUUACUGGGCGUAAAGCGCGCGUAGGUGGCUUGAUAAGCCGGUUGUGAAAGCCCCGGGCUCAACCUGGGAACGGCAUCCGGAACUGUCAAGCUAGAGUGCAGGAGAGGAAGGUAGAAUUCCCGGUGUAGCGGUGAAAUGCGUAGAGAUCGGGAGGAAUACCAGUGGCGAAGGCGGCCUUCUGGACUGACACUGACACUGGGGUGCGAAAGCGUGGGUAGCAAACAGGAUUAGAUACCCUGGUAGUCCACGCCGUAAACGAUGUCGACCAGCCGUUGGGUGCCUAGCGCACUUUGUGGCGAAGUUAACGCGAUAGUCGACCGCCUGGG